rnacentral:ncRNA from 2 species
GCCUUAUCAAGAGAGGUGGAGGGAAUGGGCCCUAUGAAACCCGGCAACCUGUAUUAUACAAAGGUGCUAAAUCCCACAGAAUUUGGAUUCUGAAAGAUGAGGU